GGAGAAGGGGAUGGGAUUAGAAAUCAAAGCGAAAUAGGAGAGAAGCGCAUUAAGCCUCGGGCAUCCUUACAGUAGGAAGGAGAGAGGGAGGUGGUAAAACCCUCAGGGAGUUUAUACCGUGAGUUAUGAGAGGAUCCACGAGUGUAAUAUUGUUAAAGGUCAGCCCAAACCUAAUUUAAACUAGGGAUGUGUGACCUCCGCCCUUCAUUUAAUACAGUCAUAAGGAACAUUACACUGCAGAUAGCUGGAACAAUAGCUGCCUCCACCCCAAACUCCAGCCCCUGGCAUUGCCUGACAGCAGGGCCUGAGCUGGAGGAGGACAAGGAGAGCCGAGGGCAUGGCUGGACCUGCAGCAGAGAGAGGCAGAGAUAGAGAAAGACGGGAGGAACACAGAUUCCACCCCCCAGCAUCAUAGGAAGCUUCUGGGUUCCACCUGAAUCCAUUGAUAUGUCCAAGGGAUGCCCAUCUGCAAAGCCCCCAAUAGCACUGACCGUCAGAGCCCACCCAAGCAGAUCUGGGUGGCCACUUACACAUUGUCAAGGGCCUCGAGCUUUCCAGGGAUGGAGGUAAGAACAGGAAAGCAGGGGCCAGGCCAGACCUUGCAAGCAGAGAUGGGGGAAGUCACCCAAUCCCAGCUGAACCAAGGCACCCAUUGAUGCUCUUUGGUUUAUUUUCCAGUGAGCAGGAAGGGGAUUUCUUGACAUUUGAGUUGCAUGGUUGAUGCUCGGUGCCUGCAGCAUUAUGAAAGUACCCCUUUUUGUAAAUCAUCUCAUAUUCACAUUUGUCAGUGGUGAGGACAGCUGGGAGAAAUCAGGCUAUGCUACUGACAUGAGACCACAGGAGGGUGGGGAUGAUUCCUGAGUUGGCAUCUCCUGUCCUUGAAGACUAGCAGAAAAUGUCAUCACAAGACAGAAUGGACAGUGAUCAGAAUGAGUCUUAAAUGCAACCAUUUAAUGGCAGAGAAGUAAUCUUAGUUGGCCCAGAGUGUUUUUCAGUGGCUUUAAGAAAGUGAUACCUUCUGUUUUGUACAGCCCAGGAGACUGGCAAUAACACGGUGUCCUUGUGUGCUGCUAAAAUAUAUUGAUCUUGGGGCAACUGGAACUGUUCUAACAGGAGAGAUUCAUUGGCGACAGGGGAUGUGAUAUAUGUAAGGUCCCUGCAUGAAAUUGAAGUCAAGGAACUUGGAAUGGGAGAAAUAAUUCACCUGGGGCCCAUGGUCAGCAAGGAGCAAACAAGAGUAGAUGCCAAGAGGGUCUGUUCAGGUCUCCUUGUGUCUGCUGCUGAGUUGUUAUAUGGGCAGGGUCAUCUUUUUGGCAUGUUCAGGGGGAAAAGAGACUCUUGGAGCAAAUCCUGCCCUGUUCUGCUGAUGCCUUGGGGCACUCAUUGUACUCGAGUGUUGCUAGCAGAUGCACCCUAAGGACCUAGAUGAUGCUGAACAUUGCAAAACUGAAGUUCUUCAGAGGUAUAUUAUUGCAUUGUGCCAGAAGAAUUUGUGACAGCAGUUUAACUGGAUAGGUGUUUCCACCCCUGUUUAUAUGGAGGACAAACUUGCAUUUCUUCAAACUGGACAGACUUGGUAUUUCUGUAGCAUCUUUUAAAACUCAAGGCACUGUGUGUAGCAUGUCCAAAGCCAGGAGGUUGAGGGCUGGGUACACUAGAGGGUCAGGUCAUCCCAGGGAGAGAGGGCUGUGUCUCCUCUCUCCCCACCUUCUGUGGAAGGGAAAGCAUCCCUUGGUCAUCUGCCAAAGUGGACACCUAAAAGGGAUUUCUGAGAAGGGUGGGAUAGGGUAGACAAGGAAGAAUGCUUCCUCCCUCCUCUGUUUUGUUGUUGUUGGGUUUUUUUGUUUUUUUGUUUUUUUGCAGAGGGAGCCUGGAAAGCUCCGAGUUUUGUCUGAUUAUUCAUGUAAAAAAUGUUCAACAAAUACAGUAGCAGGAGUAUGGGUCUGUGGGUCUGUGCCUGCUAAGUACAGCUAAGCACAUCACAAUUUCCUGCUCCCCCCACACCCCCUUUUUUUUUUAAGAAAACAUUUCCAUGGAAAGGCUCACAGGAAUGUCAUAGAGGAAGAAGUACAAGCUUCUUGAAGGACCAAUAAGAGCUCCAGCAGGCACAACUGGUUCUUCCAAGCUCUGGGAGAUGAGGUUGGCUCUUCACAGCAUUGUGCAAAUAAGGGGAAUUAUUCUGGAGCAAGUCCACAUGCUGCCCAUGCACUGACUGUGCUUUGGUACAGGUCCUUAGAUCUUCUCCUUGCCCCCCUGAACCCUUCCAGCUCUGCCACCGCCUCCCAACCAGUUCAGCUCACGAAUUUCAGACGUGCUUUAAAGGUGCAUACUUGCAGCGCCCCUUUACUUCUCCUCAGAGACUGAUGCAUCGUAGAGAAUAUAUGUGGGGCCCUUAUUGAGUGUGGAGAGGUGGAGUGAUGCAGUUACAUCUCUGUUGUGUAAUUAAUGGCCUUGAAAAAAAAAAAACCCAGCCUGUUGGCUAAGCCCGAAUACCUCUGAGGGGUUCAGGAAUCUCAGCUAUGUAUCUUUCAGGCAUUUCUUCCUCUUUUUUUUUUUUUUCUUUUCUUUUUUUUUCCCCUCACAUUGCUGCUGUGCCUCAGUGUGGGUCUUUGUUUGCAGCUCACAUUGUCUUGGGGCAGAGCAUUGGGUUGGAAGGUUCUCAGGGCCAGGGCUUCCCGCAUUGGGGAUCCCCAUGACCACCUCUGCUUGCCAGCCCCAACUGGGGUCCCCCCAUCACUCUUUCAGGGCAAGGGGCUUUGUGAUGGGAGAAAUGGAUUGAAGAUGCAGUGAAGAUCCCAGAAGAAGGAAGGGCAUGGGCAGGUGGCUGUGGAUACAGGGAAAAGAAGCAAGGAGGUUGUGCAUGUUUCACAUAAUCCAUGCACAGCAUUCCUCUGCCACAGGGACUGGGACCGACCUUUGCUGGAACUGAGCCUACUGAUACCUACAGCUGGAAGCAGUCACAUGGGACUUUGCAGUAGGGUUCCCAUUGCAGGCAACAUGGGGACACAUGUCCCAGAACACAUUACCCAUGCCAAGGGUGACAGACACCCUCACAGUGAUGCCACUCGGGGUGACUCACUUGCUGUCUCCACAUCUCUUCAUCAGCUGAAGACAACUCCUACUGGGAUACACCGAUCCUGGUGUGCUUCAGCAUCUGGAAGAUCCUAAGAGGAAUGACACAGUGAUGGGAAGCACAGGCACAAUCCUGAACAUCUCCAUACCUGCUAUGGGGCAUAAGCCCAAGAGAGAGCUGGGGAAGGUCUAAAGAGGUUUCUAUUCCCUUUGUAUGUUUAUGGCAGGCAGACUCUGAACAGGGUGGACUUUGCUUGCUGUCAGCAUCAGAGGUGCUAAUCCCAUGUGCCGGCAGCCUGAGUGUGUGUGUGGCCGGUGUGUUCCCAGCCCUCCACGAAGCCCUGAAAUCAAUGGGCAAAGGGUUAAUUGAGCUCCCGAGGCAGGUGGGAGCACAGGUCAGGCUGAGUGAUAUCGCAGACAUGUUAUUUGAAAAGCUAAGAAAUUGUGGAAUUCCUCACCUAAUCCAACUUCCCCACAGUUUAAAGAAAACUGCAGUGCAAGAUAUGUCUACGUCUGAAGGAGACCCCCCCCUUCCCCACGAGCCUUCCCCUGUGUGCUCAAUAUGUGCAUAUAUGGAGCUCACGCUGCAAGCCACCCCACAUCCUGCUGGGCUUUCAGCCACCAGGAUCUCUUCUGGAAAAGCCCAUGAGAUGCAGCAGCACCAUGGGGAGCCAGGUCCUCCGCUCCAGCUCAGCAGCCCAAGGAGCUGAGCAGCUGUAUUGCUUUUGUAUUUAAUCAAAGCUGGUUUUAGCUGAAAGAAAAAAAAAAAGAAAGUGGGGUGUGAGGCUUUAAUCUGGAAAGUUUUACAAAUGGAAAAAGGCAAUGACUAAGAAGACUUCCAGAAAAGUUUAGGCUUUUUUCUCCCCCACAAAAUUUCCUAUCGGUUCUUCAUAAAAAAAAUAUUUUACAGGGUUCUGUUGGAAAAAGUGUUGCUUGCAAAAGGCAGGUGUUGGCAAAGGAGCCGAACCUCUGCCUGGCAAGUCUUGGUCCUCCCCUGACCGUGGUGGCCCUUUUCCAACCUGAACCAUCCCAGCAGCACUGUGGGCUGCAAGAAAAUAAAUGUGUUUUCUUGGAGAGUGGACAGGCAGCCUGAUUGCUGCAGCUUGCUCGAGUGAUGGUGGGACCAAGGUGUCCUCCUCCAUUGGCUCCUGGGAGGCUCUGUGAUGUCUUCAGCUUCAUGGAACGCAAUCAGUAGCUCAGUGAUAAUUUCUGGUUAGAGAAACAUGCGCAGUAAAGAGUGAGAGGGUCAACUGGUUUCCCUCAAAGGGAUGGAGUGGUGAGCUCACACUGGGAGUGAUUGGAGGGCCCCUGGAUAUUUCACACCUCACAUUUAAGGUGUAGGCAGCCCUCAGCCCAUCCCCUUGCUGGCAUGUCUCUGCAGAGCUGCAGGGAAGUGGCUGGAGGUCUAAAUGUUGCUCAGCCCCUCAAAGAAUGACUUAAUGCCUCAAACCAUUAGAGCUGAGGGUGAUUCAUUUAUGAGGUUCAUCCAUUCCAGUGAGGUUCAUCCAUCCCUCACCAAAAGCAGUGUCAGGAUAUAUAUGGCCAGGAUGGAGGAGGAAGGUCCCCAGACCUCCUGGCACCGUGUUAGCUGGAAAAUAGUUAAAACACUUGCACAAAAAACUUUUGGUGAGACAAUACAAAUAUCAGUGGAGAUCAGUUGCCUCUUGCAGACCCCAGAUCAGGACAUCCCAGUUAUGAGAGGUGGGUGCACUGAGCCUCUGUGGGACCGUGAAUACAUAAACGUGAUUAAUGAUUAGCAAGUGGACUGGGUGAUCUUCAGAGAUCCCAUCCAACCUCCAAGAUUAUGUGCUUCUGUGAAUAAAUUCACGGCAAUUGUAUCCCCAUUGCUAACCUGCCUCUAAUUUAUUUCUUCCAGGUGGGUUUUGUGCUGUGUUUUCCAAAUCCAGCAGGUAGACCUUGGCAAAUGAGAAGAUUUUUUAUGUUUUUGGCCUGGAAGUGAAUUGUUUGGAAUUUUUAAAGAUUUUUGUAUUAUUAUUUUUAGUUUUCAUUAAA